rnacentral:snRNA from 1 species
AACCUUGCGCAGUGGAAAUAUUGUAAUUAAUGAAGAUUUCCUGAGGUGCGAUUAUUGCUGGUUGAAACUUAGAUUACUAAACUAAGGUUAAUGAUAAAUGUAAGUUAAAUACGAAUUGUGGACAAACA